GGGCGUUAAGUUGCAGGGUAUAGACCCGAAACCCGGUGAUCUAGCCAUGGGCAGGUUGAAGGUUGGGUAACACUAACUGGAGGACCGAACCGACUAAUGUUGAAAAAUUAGCGGAUGACCUGUGGCUGGGGGUGAAAGGCCAAUCAAACCGGGAGAUAGCUGGUUCUCCCCGAAAGCUAUUUAGGUAGCGCCUCGUGAAUUCAUCUCCGGGGGUAGAGCACUGUUUCGGCUAGGGGGCCAUCCCGGCUUACCAACCCGAUGCAAACUGCGAAUACCGGAGAAUGUUAUCACGGGAGACACACGGCGGGUGCUAACGUCCGUCGUGAAGAGGGAAACAACCCAGACCGCCAGCUAAGGUCCCAAAGUCAUGGUUAAGUGGGAAACGAUGUGGGAAGGCCCAGACAGCCAGGAUGUUGGCUUAGAAGCAGCCAUCAUUUAAAGAAAGCGUAAUAGCUCACUGGUCGAGUCGGCCUGCGCGGAAGAUGUAACGGGGCUAAACCAUGCACCGAAGCUGCGGCAGCGACGCUGAUGCGUUGUUGGGUAGGGGAGCGUUCUGUAAGCCUGCGAAGGUGGCCUGUGAGGGUUGCUGGAGGUAUCAGAAGUGCGAAUGCUGACAUAAGUAACGAUAAAGCGGGUGAAAAGCCCGCUCGCCGGAAGACCAAGGGUUCCUGUCCAACGUUAAUCGGGGCAGGGUGAGUCGACCCCUAAGGCGAGGCCGAAAGGCGUAGUCGAUGGGAAACGGGUUAAUAUUCCCGUACUUGGUGUUACUGCGAAGGGGGGACGGAGAAGGCUAUGUUGGCCGGGCGACGGUUGUCCCGGUUUAAGCGUGUAGGUGUGUGUUCCAGGUAAAUCCGGUUCACUUUAACACUGAGGCGUGAUGACGAGGCACUACGGUGCUGAAGCAACAAAUGCCCUGCUUCCAGGAAAAGCCUCUAAGCAUCAGGUAACAUCAAAUCGUACCCCAAACCGACACAGGUGGUCAGGUAGAGAAUACCAAGGCGCUUGAGAGAACUCGGGUGAAGGAACUAGGCAAAAUGGUGCCGUAACUUCGGGAGAAGGCACGCUGACACGUAGGUGAAGUGAUUUACUCAUGGAGCUGAAGUCAGUCGAAGAUACCAGCUGGCUGCAACUGUUUAUUAAAAACACAGCACUGUGCAAACACGAAAGUGGACGUAUACGGUGUGACGCCUGCCCGGUGCCGGAAGGUUAAUUGAUGGGGUCAGCGCAAGCGAAGCUCCUGAUCGAAGCCCCGGUAAACGGCGGCCGUAACUAUAACGGUCCUAAGGUAGCGAAAUUCCUUGUCGGGUAAGUUCCGACCUGCACGAAUGGCGUAAUGAUGGCCAGGCUGUCUCCACCCGAGACUCAGUGAAAUUGAACUCGCUGUGAAGAUGCAGUGUACCCGCGGCAAGACGGAAAGACCCCGUGAACCUUUACUAUAGCUUGACACUGAACAUUGAGCCUUGAUGUGUAGGAUAGGUGGGAGGCUUUGAAGUGUGGACGCCAGUCUGCAUGGAGCCGACCUUGAAAUACCACCCUUUAAUGUUUGAUGUUCUAACGUGGACCCGUGAUCCGGGUUGCGGACAGUGUCUGGUGGGUAGUUUGACUGGGGCGGUCUCCUCCUAAAGAGUAACGGAGGAGCACGAAGGUUGGCUAAUCCUGGUCGGACAUCAGGAGGUUAGUGCAAUGGCAUAAGCCAGCUUGACUGCGAGCGUGACGGCGCGAGCAGGUGCGAAAGCAGGUCAUAGUGAUCCGGUGGUUCUGAAUGGAAGGGCCAUCGCUCAACGGAUAAAAGGUACUCCGGGGAUAACAGGCUGAUACCGCCCAAGAGUUCAUAUCGACGGCGGUGUUUGGCACCUCGAUGUCGGCUCAUCACAUCCUGGGGCUGAAGUAGGUCCCAAGGGUAUGGCUGUUCGCCAUUUAAAGUGGUACGCGAGCUGGGUUUAGAACGUCGUGAGACAGUUCGGUCCCUAUCUGCCGUGGGCGCUGGAGAACUGAGGGGGGCUGCUCCUAGUACGAGAGGACCGGAGUGGACGCAUCACUGGUGUUCGGGUUGUCAUGCCAAUGGCACUGCCCGGUAGCUAAAUGCGGAAGAGAUAAGUGCUGAAAGCAUCUAAGCACGAAACUUGCCCCGAGAUGAGUUCUCCCUGAGACUUUAGGUCUCCUGAAGGAACGUUGAAGACGACGACGUUGAUAGGCCGGGUGUGUAAGCGCAGCGAUGCGUUGAGCUAACCGGUACUAAUGAACCGUGAGGCUUAACCUU
rnacentral:rRNA from 1 species